GACGAACGCUGGCGGCGUGCUUAACACAUGCAAGUCGAACGGUGAAGCGCUUGCCUUUUUGGUGGGUGUGGAUGAGUGGCGAACGGGUGAGUAACACGUGAGUAACCUGCCCUCUUCUUCUGGAUAACCUCAUGAAAGUGGGGCUAAUACGGGGUAUUCCGGGUCUGUCGCAUGGCUGGUUUGGGAAAGAUUGCGCCUUUGGGUGUUUUCGUUGGGGGAUGGGCUCGCCGCCUAUCAGCUUGUUGGGGGGGUGAGGGCCUACCAAGUGGGUGACGGGUAGCCGGCCUGGGAGGGUGGACGGCCACACUGGGACUGAGACACGGCCCAGACUCCUGCGGGAGGCAGCAGUGGGGAAGAUUGAACGAUGGGCGCAAGCCUGAUGCAGCGACGCCGCGUGAGGGAUGGAGGCCGUCGGGUUGUGAACCUCUUUCGCCAGUGAAGCAGGCCUGCUCCUGUGUGGGUGGGUUGACGGUAGCUGGAUAAGAAGCGCCGGCUAACUACGUG
rnacentral:rRNA from 1 species